CUGAGUACGGCGGAACACGUGAAAUUCCGUCGGAAUCCGGGAGGACCAUCUCCCAAGGCUAAAUACUCCCUAGUGACCGAUAGUGAACCAGUACCGUGAGGGAAAGGUGAAAAGCACCCCGGAAGGGGAGUGAAACAGUUCCUGAAACCGUGUGCCUACAAGUAGUUAGAGCCCGUUAAUGGGUGAUAGCGUGCCUUUUGUAGAAUGAACCGGCGAGUUACGAUUUGUUGCAAGGUUAAGCGGAAAAAGCGGAGCCGUAGCGAAAGCGAGUCUGAAUAGGGCGCAUAAGUAACAGGUCGUAGACCCGAAACCAGGUGAUCUACCCAUGUCCAGGAUGAAGGUAAGGUAAUACUUACUGGAGGUCCGAACCCACGCACGUUGAAAAGUGCGGGGAUGAGGUGUGGGUAGCGGAGAAAUUCCAAUCGAACUUGGAGAUAGCUGGUUCUCUCCGAAAUAGCUUUAGGGCUAGCCUCGAGGUAAAGAGUCAUGGAGGUAGAGCACUGUUUGGACUAGGGGCCCUUCUCGGGUUACCGAAUUCAGAUAAACUCCGAAUGCCAUGUACUUAUACUCGGGAGUCAGACUGCGAGUGAUAAGAUCCGUAGUCGAAAGGGAAACAGCCCAGACCACCAGUUAAGGUCCCCAAAUAUAUGUUAAGUGGAAAAGGAUGUGGGGUUGCUUAGACAACCAGGAUGUUGGCUUAGAAGCAGCCACCAUUGAAAGAGUGCGUAAUAGCUCACUGGUCGAGUGACCCCGCGCCGAAAAUGUACCGGGGCUAAACAUAUUACCGAAACUGUGGAUGAACCUCUUUAGAGGUUCGUGGUAGGAGAGCGUUCUAAGGGCGGUGAAGUCAGACCGGAAGGACUGGUGGAGCGCUUAGAAGUGAGAAUGCCGGUAUGAGUAGCGAAAGAAGGGUGAGAAUCCCUUCCACCGAAUAUCUAAGGUUUCCUGAGGAAGGCUCGUCCGCUCAGGGUUAGUCGGGACCUAAGCCGAGGCCGAUAGGCGUAGGCGAUGGACAACAGGUAGAGAUUCCUGUACCAGUGCUAAUUGUUUAACCGAUGGGGUGACACAGAAGGAUAGGGAAUCGCACGAAUGGAAAUGUGCGUCCAAGCAGUGAGUGUGAGAAGUAGGCAAAUCCGCUUCUCGCGAAGCAUGAGCUGUGAUGGGGAAGGAAAUUAAGUACGGAAGUUCCUGAUUUCACGCUGUCAAGAAAAGCCUCUAGGAAGAGUAGUACUGCCCGUACCGCAAACCGACACAGGUAGAUGAGGAGAGAAUCCUAAGGUGAGCGAGAGAACUCUCGUUAAGGAACUCGGCAAAAUGACCCCGUAACUUCGGGAGAAGGGGUGCUCUAUUAGGGUGCAAGCCCGAGAGAGCCGCAGUGAAUAGGCCCAGGCGACUGUUUAGCAAAAACACAGGUCUCUGCAAAACCGUAAGGUGACGUAUAGGGGCUGACGCCUGCCCGGUGCUGGAAGGUUAAGAGGAGUGCUUAGCUUCGGCGAAGGUACGAAUUGAAGCCCCAGUAAACGGCGGCCGUAACUAUAACGGUCCUAAGGUAGCGAAAUUCCUUGUCGGGUAAGUUCCGACCCGCACGAAAGGCGCAACGAUCUGGGCACUGUCUCAACGAGAGACUCGGUGAAAUUAUAGUACCUGUGAAGAUGCAGGUUACCCGCGACAGGACGGAAAGACCCCGUGGAGCUUUACUGCAACCUGAUAUGGAAUGUUUGUACCGCUUGUACAGGAUAGGUAGGAGCCGAAGAGACGUGUGCGCUAGCAUACGAGGAGGCAAUGGUGGGAUACUACCCUGGCUGUAUGACCAUUCUAACCCGCCACGCUUAGCGCGUGGGGAGACAGUGUCAGGUGGGCAGUUUGACUGGGGCGGUCGCCUCCUAAAGAGUAACGGAGGCGCCCAAAGGUUCCCUCAGAAUGGAUGGAAAUCAUUCGCAGAGUGUAAAGGCACAAGGGAGCUUGACUGCGAGACUGACAAGUCGAGCAGGGACGAAAGUCGGGCUUAGUGAUCCGGUGGUUCCGCAUGGAAGGGCCAUCGCUCAACGGAUAAAAGCUACCCCGGGGAUAACAGGCUUAUCUCCCCCAAGAGUCCACAUCGACGGGGAGGUUUGGCACCUCGAUGUCGGCUCGUCGCAUCCUGGGGCUGUAGUCGGUCCCAAGGGUUGGGCUGUUCGCCCAUUAAAGCGGCACGCGAGCUGGGUUCAGAACGUCGUGAGACAGUUCGGUCCCUAUCCGUCGCGGGCGCAGGAAAUUUGAGAGGAGCUGUCCUUAGUACGAGAGGACCGGGAUGGACACACCGCUGGUGUACCAGUUGUUCCGCCAGGAGCAUCGCUGGGUAGCUAUGUGUGGCAGGGAUAAACGCUGAAAGCAUCUAAGCGUGAAGCCCCCCUCAAGAUGAGAUUUCCCAUU
rnacentral:rRNA from 1 species